GACGAACGCUGGCGGCGCGCCUAAUACAUGCAAGUUGAGCGCUGAAGGUUGGUACUUGUACCAACUGGAUGAGCAGCGAACGGGUGAGUAACGCGUGGGGAAUCUGCCUUUGAGCGGGGGACAACAUUUGGAAACGAAUGCUAAUACCGCAUAAAAACUUUAAACACAAGUUUUAAGUUUGAAAGAUGCAAUUGCAUCACUCAAAGAUGAUCCCGCGUUGUAUUAGCUAGUUGGUGAGGUAAAGGCUCACCAAGGCGAUGAUACAUAGCCGACCUGAGAGGGUGAUCGGCCACAUUGGGACUGAGACACGGCCCAAACUCCUACGGGAGGCAGCAGUAGGGAAUCUUCGGCAAUGGACGAAAGUCUGACCGAGCGACGCCGCGUGAGUGAAGAAGGUUUUCGGAUCGUAAAACUCUGUUGGUAGAGAAGAACGUUGGUGAGAGUGGAAAGCUCAUCAAGUGACGGUAACUACCCAGAAAGGGACGGCUAACUACGUG
rnacentral:rRNA from 1 species